CCCUUAGAUGUUCUGGGCCGCACGCGCGCUACACUGAUGCAUUCAACGAGCCUAUCCUUGACCGACAGGUCCGGGUAAUCUUUGAAUCUGCAUCGUGACGGGGAAAGAUUAUUGCAAUUAUUAAUCUUCAACGAGGAAUGUCUAGUAGGCGCAAGUCAUCAGCUUGCGUCGAUUACGUCCCUGCCCUUUGUACACACCGCCCGUCGCUCCUACCGAUUGAUUGAUCCGUGAAUUACAUAGAAUUUUGCGUUUUACAUGACGGAAGAUGAAGUGUUUUAAACCUUAUCAUUUAGAGGAAGGAGAAGUCGUAACA
rnacentral:rRNA from 1 species